UACAGAGGUGGCAAGCGUUGUUCGGAAUUACUGGGCGUAAAGCGCGUGUAGGCGGCUCUUCAAGUCAGGCGUGAAAGCCCCGGGCUCAACUCGGGAACUGCGCUUGAUACUGUCGAGCUAGAGUGUGGAAGGGGCGAUUGGAAUUCCGUGUGUAGCGGUGAAAUGCGUAGAUAUACGGAGGAACACCAGAGGCGAAGGCGGAUCGCUGGACAAUUGCUGACACUCAGGCACGAAAGCGUGGGGAGCAAAAGGG
rnacentral:rRNA from 1 species